UACAGAGACUGCAAGCGUUAUUCGGAUUCACUGGGCGUAAAGGGUGCGCAGGCGGCCGCGUGUGUCAGGUGUGAAAGCCCGGGGCUUAACCCCGGAAUUGCGCCUGAAACUACAUGGCUAGAGCAUUGGAGAGGGUAGCGGAAUUCACGGUGUAGCAGUGAAAUGCGCAGAUAUCGUGAGGAACACCAGAGGCGAAGGCGGCUACCUGGACAAUUGCUGACGCUCAGGCACGAAAGCGUGGGGAGCAAAAGGG
rnacentral:rRNA from 1 species